rnacentral:lncRNA from 1 species
CCGAGUGAAAUAAAUAGCAUCGCCCGCCAACUACCGCCCUGCUUCACAACCCGGGGCCGCAGGGCGAGGGCUGAGGGAAGGCACCGCACCCAGGACUGGGACCCUCAGCCUCCCGGGGCCCGAGGAGCGGGGGGCCGGCCGUCCAAGGGAGGGGCCGGUGGCCCUGCAGGCUGCGCUGCUGUCGGCCCCGGGCCCCUCACAGGACGCCCUCCCGGUAGGCGCCCGAGGGCCCGGCGAACGCGGCCUGGUGCUCGGAGCCGAAGCUUGU